GGCUAGUCUCAAACUCCUGAGCUCUGGCAAUCCACCUGCCUUGGCCUCCCAAAGUGCUAGCAUUAUAGGCCUGAGCCACCACACCCAGCCCAGAUCAAACUUAUUGCACUUUUUCUCCCCUUCUCACUACUGUACUUGACUAGUCUUUA
ensembl:misc_RNA Y_RNA Y RNA